rnacentral:tRNA from 1 species
GGCUAGUUGGUCUAGGGGUAUGAUUCUCGCUUCGGGUGCGAGAGGUCCAGGACUCAAAUCCCAGACAAGCCC